CUGAACAUAAGAAAAAAGAGAGAGAAACAGCAAAGCAAGGAAAACGCCCAUAUUAUCUUAAGAAAUCGAAAAUUCGGGAGUGGAGACUCGUCGAGAAAUACAACAAUCUCAAAGAGACAGGCAAGCUUGAAUCCUUUAUUGAGAAAAAAAGGAGGAAAAUUGCUUCGAAGGACCAUCCUUUCGUGCCAUAUCGGCGGUCCAACAACAAUGAGAAACACAAGUAAUGGUUUUAAGCAUCUCUUACUACCGAAGGGUCUUUUUUUGCCCCUUGCAGAAAUUAAAUGGUUUUGUUCCUCUUUAA